rnacentral:rRNA from 1 species
UAAGGAAUAUUGGUCAAUGGACGCAAGUCUGAACCAGCCAUGCCGCGUGAAGGAUUAAGGCCCUCUGGGUUGUAAACUUCUUUUAUAGGGGACGAAAUGUGACGGUUCUCCGUCACUUGACGGUACCCUGGGAAUAAGCACCGGCUAACUCCGUGCCAGCAGCCGCGGUAAGACGAAGGAUGCAAGCGUUAUCCGGAUUCAUUGGGUCUAAAGGGUGCGUAGGCGGGCUUUUAAGUCAGUGGUGAAAUCUCUCAGCUUAACUGAGAAACUGCCAUUGAUACUGCAGGUCUAGAGUAUAGAUGACGUUGGCUGAAUAUGACAUGUAGUGGUGAAAUACUUAGAUAUGUCAUAGAACACCGAUUGCGAAGGCAGCUAACGAAACUAUAACUGACGCUGAGGCACGAAAGUGCGGGGAUCAAACA